GGUAAGGUGGCCGAGCAGGCGGCGGAUUGUAGCCCCGAAGACGGAGGUUGAGUCCUCCCCCUACCA
rnacentral:tRNA from 1 species